UGAUGCAGGAAUUCAAGACAUGCAGGUAUCUUUAGAACGCUUCCCCACCAUCCCUGUGUCAGAGGUCAAGAUACCUGGAUCUAUGAGGAAUGAAAUGAAGUGGGUUUAAUAAUUCAGUUUUGCUUCCCUAGGAAAACCAUGCCUUCCUUUCUGCCUUUCCUCUCCCCCUAAGCUGCUCUGUACACAAACUCGUUUACAUUUUAGCCUUUUCCCCCAGGUGGUGCCCAGGAGAGUCCAGGUGGUUUGAGUCAAUUUAGUAAGCAAGUGCUGAGUCAGAAGGCCUGGGAAGGAAAACCUUGGUCAGACCCCAGGGUUCACAUCCCAGCUCUCCCAGGAGGUAGCACAGAUUCUGACCAAGUGGCUUCAUCUCCCUUCUCCCGCGUCCUCAUCUGUAAAAGGCAGGACUGUUUUCUCUUGCUUCUGCAUUUUCUCAUUUCUCUGAUUAAACGUUCUUGGACUCAAGUUUUUCCACAGACAACAGGCAGGUGGAGGACAUGUGAUAAGGAAAUCUGUGCCGAGCAUCGUGUGACGCUGGAAUUGGCUGGAGGUUCAGACCGAGUGGGGAACACGGUCUUCACGAAUCACGAAUGGAGAUGACCCCGCUGACCAUCCCAACAGGCUUCAGGACCAGGAGGCGGCAGGAUUCCCCUCUGCCCUGGGGUAAAAGAAGCCAGGCCCAAUGACGGGACGGAUUGGGCCAAGUAGAGAGCAGAGAAUGAAGAAACUUUCUGGACGGUGAUUUCAGGUUCCUGAAGGAGAGGAGGAAUUCCUGCCUCAACAUCCCUCUGGAAAAAUACCCCCCAAUCUGUGGAUCCGGGAGCAGGACUUCAGAUUAACAUUUAAAUCACUGACUUAGUGGAUGACCCCUCCAUAAUCUGGAUUGGCUUCAUCUAAUCAGCUGAAGCCACUUGAGACUGACCACCCUGGAGGAAGGAGGAAUUUUGCCAGCAGAUGGACUUCGGACUCAACUACAACUCUCCUGGUUCUCCAACCUGCUGAGUUGCCCUGCAUGUUUUUUUUUUUUUUUUUUUUAAUUUGGCCACACAGCAUGGCUUUCAGGAUCUUAGUCCCCUGACUAGGGACCAAAGGAUGAACCCACACUCUCUGCAGUGAAAGCAUGGAGCUGCAACCCCACGAGACAAUUUCUUAAAAUCUUCUUUCAACACACACACGCGUGUGUACAUCCUAUUGGCUCUCUGAAGAACCCUGACUAAUACAGUGAUUUCACAAAAGCAUUACAGAAUACACAUAAAUAUAUCUUUUCCUCAUGGCCCUACCCCUACCCUGGUGGACUGAAAGGCAGAAUACAGGGUGUCUGCUACUGCUGCUGCUAAGUCGCUUCAGUCGUGUCUGACUCUGU